AAGUUUCUUCCACUCUUGGACAGAGUGUCAGUUGAAAGGAUUACUGUCGAAACUGUAACUAAAGGUGGCAUUAUGCUUCCAGAAAAAUCUCAAGGAAAAUAUUGGAAGCUACAGUAAUGGUUGUGAGACCAGGAGCCAAAGGGAAGGGUGGGGAGAGUCAACUGGUCAGUGUGAAAGCUGGAGACAAAGUUCUUCUCCCAGAACAUGGAGGCACCAAAGUUGUCUAGAAGACAAAAAUUAUUUCUAAUUUAGAGAUGGUGACAUUCUUGGAAAGUAUGUGGACUGA
rnacentral:lncRNA from 1 species